rnacentral:rRNA from 1 species
AAUUGGAGGGCAAGUCUGGUGCCAGCAGCCGCGGUAAUUCCAGCUCCAAUAGCGUAUAUUAAAGUUGUUGCAGUUAAAAAGCUCGUAGUUGAAUUUCGGGGUUAGUAGGUUGGUCAUGCCUCUGGUAUGUACUGGUCUCACUGAUUCCUCCUUCCUUAUGAACCGUAAUGCCAUUAAUUUGGUGUUGCGGGGAAUUUGGACUGUUACCUUGAAAAAAUUAGAGUGUUUAAAGCAGGCUAACGCUUGAAUACAUUAGCAUGGAAUAAUGAAAUAGGACGUUCGAUCUUAUUUUGUUGGUUUCUAGGAUUGACGUAAUGAUUAAUAGGGAUAGUUGGGGGCAUUAGUAUUCAAUUGUCAGAGGUGAAAUUCUUGGAUUUAUUGAAGACUAACUACUGCGAAAGCAUUUGCCAAGGAUGUUUUCAUUAAUCAAGAACGAAAGUUAGGGGAUCGAAGACGAUCAGAUACCGUCGUAGUCUUAACCAUAAACUAUGCCGACUAGGGAUCGGAUGAUGUUAAUUUUUUAAUGACUCAUUCGGCGCCUUACGGGAAACCAAAGUGU